GACGAACGCUGGCGGCGUGCUUAACACAUGCAAGUCGAACGGAAAGGCUCCAGCUUGCUGGAGUACUCGAGUGGCGAACGGGUGAGUAACACGUGGGUAAUCUGCCCUGCACUCUGGGAUAAGCCUGGGAAACUGGGUCUAAUACUGGAUAUGACCUUUCUCCUUAUGGGGUUUGGUGGAAAGUUUUUCGGUGUAGGAUGAGCCCGCGGCCUAUCAGCUUGUUGGUGGGGUGAUGGCCUACCAAGGCGACGACGGGUAGCCGGCCUGAGAGGGUGAUCGGACACAUUGGGACUGAGAUACGGCCCAGACUCCUACGGGAGGCAGCAGUGGGGAAUAUUGCACAAUGGGCGGAAGCCUGAUGCAGCGACGCCGCGUGAGGGAUGACGGCCUUCGGGUUGUAAACCUCUUUCAGCAGGGACGAAGCGUAAGUGACGGUACCUGCAGAAGAAGCACCGGCUAACUAUGUG
rnacentral:rRNA from 1 species